UGUGGACGUGAAGAACAAAAAAUUUAAGGCUUGUUUGGUUCAUUCAUUUUGAAUAUGGAAUGGGAAUCGGUUUGAUCAAAUCCGAUUAAUUUUGUUUGGUUCGCAUGAAUUGGUUUGAUAUUUCUAUUCCGGACUGGAAUGUGAAUGGCCCAUUAGCCUUCAACUUGAUUCCGAUCUUCUAGGCCGGAUUGAGAUUUCAUUCCGGAAGCCCACUAAGUUCUUGAAGCCCAUGUGACCAUCUCACCCUCCUUCUCUUCACCCCUUUCUCAUCAAAAAAAAAAAAACCCUAUCCUCUCUCAAAACUCUAUCCCUAACCUACAUCAAUAAAACUUUUUAAAAAUAAAUUUGAUAUUUUUUUGAAAAACUUAUUAGAGAAUAGUAUUAUAUUUUUCAUAAAUUUUAAAUAAUAUAAAUUUAUAUUUGAGAGUAAAAUUAGUAUUAUAAUAUUCUAUAAUUUUUUUAAUUUAUACGAACCAAACAAUGAAAUGUGAAUAACUCAUUCCAAUUUUCAAUCCACAAAUAAACCAAACGUCUUGAGGAAGUGGGCCAUUCCAAUUACCAUUCCAAUUUAUUUCCAUUCCAUUAUCUAUUCUAAUUUCACCCUUGAAACAAACAAGCCCUUAUAGUUAUUCGGUUCUCUGGCCUUUUUUUUUUUUUUUU
rnacentral:lncRNA from 1 species